AAGAAUGGCAUUGACGUGAACCUUGAAUUGGUACUGAUAUUGCAUAUAGAAAACUGUAAAAUCAAAAAUACUAAAUACAUAAAAUACGACAAGGGUGUAAGGUCUGUGAUUUGUUCCGUUGAGGUACACAUGUGUUUGAAAAAUAAUUUUGCGUUAUCUAAAUUGUCAGAUCUGCGUUAGAAAUAUGUUGAAUGUUUCUAGUAUAGUGUCUGACGAGUUCCCUUAUUUGCUUCAGUUUUUCUGCAUUACACCUGGUACAAUUUUUUUUUGAAAAACUAGGUGGACAUACAAUUACAAAUAGUAACACUUAAUAGCUGAAAGAAGUUUUUUUUACACCAUGUAAUGCUGCUAACAUCAGUAAUAAUUAUGUGCACGUAACAUGAUUUUCAUCUUAACAGCAACCCUUCUUUCGCCUCUUCCAUAUUUGUACAUUGAUGAAAAUAUUUUAUUUUUAGAUAUUGAAAAUUUUCAGACAAAGGUUCCAAAUCGUAAAAAAUAGAACUGUGUCAUAAUUGAAUGGAGGAAUCCAAUAUACCACAGGUAAGUUAUAAAAGAAUUAACCGUUAUAGAUAUGCAAUUUCCUAGAUAUUAAUACAUGCAUUUUCAGAAAUUGAAAAAAAGAAAUACCUCUAACAAAGUGGUUGUUAAAGUUGAUGCAAGGAAUGUUAACGGUCCAAUCAAAUACCGUAGUUUAUAUAUAUCUUCCAGAUAGUACGACCCGACUAUAAAAGCUUACUACAGAUAGAUCUGCGUCGCACUGUGCUAUUUGACACGCUUACGUUCUAACCAAGCAUACAGAAAUCUCUCACUACUUUUUCAACCACAAAACAGAAUCAGGUAUGUACGUACUAUUGAAUAUAUUUGUAUUAUUCAUUUACACAAUAAGCUCGUCUUUAAAAAUAUAUUAUAUACCUAAAAGGUUUGUUCUCUGUAGAUGAGCUAUACAAUAUUCUAAGACCAAAGUUUUCUUUAAAUUGUAAGUUCAAAUAAUUUUACUGAUAAACCUGAAAUUUCUGGCAUAUACUGUUAUUACAUCAGUUCAAUGGUCAGAAACUAAUUAGUGAUCUCUUAAAAAGUAUAAGAAUUGGACUGAGAAAUUUUCAAAACUAAAUAAAAUUAAGUAAAGUUGGUAUGAUUGUAAAUGAAACAGAUUCAUUCACCCAGAGUUUGAAUGAAUUAGAUAUAAGAAAUUAUAGGUCUUUAUACCGAACGAAAAAAAUCAAGUGUAUUAUCAUAAUAAAUCUGGGACAUUUAAAAUACGAAACUGAAUACAUAAGAAUGUAAUAAACAGCAGAAUUUUCAGAAAAUGCACCAUGUCUAAUGAAAUAUAUGCGAUCGAUAAACGUAGUAAGUGCGUUAAAAUAAUGUGUUAUUGCAUUCUUUGUACAAAUUAUAAAUACAUGUUUUCAUAAUACCAGCAAUAUUUAAUACACAGUAAAACAAUAAGAAAACCAAUGUCUACUUUGCAUAUUUUCAAAUUGAUUGUUUGGUUUAUUUGUAGUAAAAUAAAACAUUAUUUAAACUAUGAAAUAAAUGCAUUUAAUGCAGUCCAUUGGAUUGCAUUGAUUCUUAUUAAUAUUAUGAAAUUUCAAUUGAUGCUUUAAAUAAAUGUAAUAAUUAAUUAUAUAAAGCAUAACAUUGAAUUUUCUGUUUUUUGCUUAUUUGAAAAUUCUGGAUACCAUUGCCUACUUAUCUCUUAUCUAAAACCGUAUUUAUUUUUUACAGUAGAAACAUGUCUGGAAGAGGUCAAGGCCAAGCUAGUAACGAUAACAAGUCUGCCCAGUGUAAUCCAACCAGCACUAAAUAUGAAGGACAUCAGCCUGGUUAUACUGGAACCGGGACUAAGCCAGACCUGGACAACCACUCCAACCAAUUGAAUCCAAACAAUCAGGAAUAUAAGGGAUCGAAAUAACAAUGAUAUUUUCACGAAUCGGGUUAUAUAAACCUGUGCGAGACAUUUACUGUUUCAGCAAUUUGAUAAAUUAAAAUGUUUUAAAUUAAACUUUCCUACCUGAUUUCGUGUGUAAAACACUGCUUUGCCAACGUGGUGUUGUAACGUUAGUUCUUUCUGUCCAAGGUGUACUUUAGUCUAUACUGUUUGAUUGUAUUUUAGAUUUCGUCUACUUUUAAAGUUGUUUUUAGUGUUUGAAUGAAUGUUUAAUUAGUUAAAACUUCAAACUUAUUUUCAGCCAUUUUCAUUUGCAGUAAAAUGUAAUUACUAUUUUGAGAA
rnacentral:lncRNA from 1 species